GAGACACCCUUCUGGGGCAAGACUUGCUUCAGUGGGGCUUUGCUGCUCACUGAGUCUGCCCCCUGAGUGUGUCCCU
rnacentral:pre_miRNA from 1 species